rnacentral:siRNA from 1 species
UUGUUAAGGUGUCUCCUGGGU